GGCUGUAUAAAAAGGUGGAGCACAGCGGAGAAGCUCUCAGUAGUUCAAGUUCAUCACUUUGAAUGGCAUCUGUUAGGAUUUUUAGCUCGGCUGGAAAGUAGAAGGUCCUGCUGGUCAGUUUCUGGCUUCUUUUUUUGCCAUCAGAGGGUCUCUGCAAGGUGAGGAAUACCAGCCUGUUUGGUUUUACGAAUAAGACCCAACUUUUCUCAUAAGGAGCCACUUUGAAAGCUUGGAUUACUUCUCUUUUUCUGGUCUUUAGAGGCCACCCCAGCCCUUCCCUCCAUUUCGACCCACCUCACACCACAUUAACAGACAUGAUCAUCAGACUGGGCAGGCUGACACCUGGAUACUUCCGCCUCCUCCAGAGGCAAGUAGCCGGUGAGGUGCAGACGCAGCCACAAGACCGUGCCGUCAACCAGAUAGCCAUGAUGCUGGCCAUCAUGGGCCUGAGUUUGUCCUACUACAGUGCCAAACAGAUGACUGAGAAGGUCCAGUCCCAGCCUGCACCCUGAAGGGACUUGACUACUCCGAUCGUGGAGCUAAUGGAUGAACCAAUGAGAAGUGAAGGAGGUGGAGGACGGUGGGGGGGGGGGGGGAUAUAUGCAGAGACACAGCAGUGUCUUCCAAGACCGCACUUUUUUUCACCUCAGUCAUAUUCACACUUGGACACUGAAUUUCUGGGAUCCCUCACUCACUAUGCGCACAGACCUCAGGGCUGCUGCUAAGUGUUUUCUAUACUUUCUGUUGUCGGGACCUUGAGGGGGUUAUGGGGAUGGCUCACAUGGGGUCGUGGAAAAGACCAAAACCAGAACCAGCUGACCGCCAACUGGGUCUGACCAUUAGUCGUUACAAAGGUACAUGCUUACAGGAUGCUGUCAGUACUGUUCUGAGCUACAAAAAACGGGGGGGGGGGCGGCGACUUUAUACUGUGAAUUUUGCCAGUGCUCAAAGCCUGUCCAUGUAGGGUUAACAAAUAUGAACAGUAAUGCCUCUAAGGGAAAGGCUGACUGUAAUUGAGAUGUAUCUUGUAACAAAGUGAUGGCAGUCCCAGAACAUGGUUAAAGGGGAUGAAAAGUUAGCAAAACUCUUAGGUUUUCUGUAUUUUUUUUUUUUUCCUUCACAAGAGAACCUUGCAGAGGCUUGUGAACAGAUUAGCAGCUGUAUAAACAAACUGUCAAUAUACUUGUGAAAUGUAUCUGUCAGUUCAGAGAUUCAGUGAAUAUUUGCGCUAAAGUGCAGAAACCUUUUUAAAUGCUAUAGAUCUGCAAAGGAACUUCUGACUACCUUUUUUGUUUUAUGGUGUUUUUUUUCCCCCCCCCCCCUAUGAUUUCACUGUUUUAACAUAAAUACAUGAAGUCCUGUUAAUAAGAUGUGUGAUGACCUUAAUAAGCACCCUGGUUAAUAAACCUUCCUGCCCUGCAAUAUCUACUACAUGUUAAUGCAAACAUUUACCUUUACUGAACAUUGCAUGGGUGUGCAGACUUUUAAUCGAAGCAAAAUUAAUGAGUGUCUUGUUUUUAUUGAUGAAUGAAUGUAUUACUUUGUAAUGAUUUAAUAAAACUGUGAAUAUUUUGAACGAGA